rnacentral:lncRNA from 1 species
AAAGAUGAACCUCUAGGUGCAGUUAACAUGUGAUACAGUCCUACUAUCGUGGAUCCCUACAGGACGGAGGUCAUGGACAACUCGUCAAACCCCAUCGUCUGUCAUAUGUCAAGAUUUAUUCGACUUGAGUUCGCUAAUGGAAAACUCUUUUUCCACUUUAUAUUACUGCCCUAGCCAAGGUCUUAGAACUCAGUCUAACAAAUAACAUAGGAUCACUCCUCUUCUAUCAAGGUCGAUAGAUUCCUUAUAGGUGCAUACCCUACUCCUACAGUGAACUUACUGCAGCCAAUCUACACUGCAUGGACCCAUAUGGCUAGAGACCAUGUAUGUGUGCAGUCAAACUACAAUAACCUCACUGUGAGUAGCCGAAGCACCGCAGGUCAAUGGACCAGUCA